GUACAAUAAGCUAAAUAAGGGCGUAUGGGGGAUGCCUAGGCUCUCAGAGGCGAUGAAGGACGUGAUAAGCUGCGAAAAGCUGCGGGGAUUGGCACAUACAAGUUGAUCCGCAGAUAUCCGAAUGGGGCAACCCACUUGAUUGAAGGUCAAGUAUCCGCAAGGAGGCAAACCCGGGGAACUGAAACAUCUAAGUACCCGGAGGAAGAGAAAACAAUAGUGAUUCCGAUAGUAGCGGCGAGCGAACUCGGAUUAGCCCAAACCGGUUCUGUUACGGCAGGCCCGGGGUUGUAGGACCACAACAUUUUAUGCAUAAUGAAUUAGAACACGUUGGAAAGCGUGGCCAUAGACGGUGAUAGCCCGGUAUAGGUAAAGAAUGUUAUAGAUAGUGGUAUCCUGAGUAGUGCGGGGCACGUGAAACCCUGUAUGAAUCUGGCGGGACCAUCCGCUAAGGCUAAAUACUCCUGAGAGACCGAUAGUGAACCAGUACCGUGAGGGAAAGGUGAAAAGAACCCUGAACAAGGGAGUGAAAUAGACCCUGAAACCAUACGCUUACAAGCGGUCGGAGCCCCUUUGGGGGUGACGGCGUGCCUUUUGCAUAAUGAGCCUACGAGUUACUUUAUCUAGCAAGGUUAAGAUGUUCAGCAUCGGAUCCGUAGCGAAAGCGAGUCUUAAUAGGGCGUUUAGUUAGGUUGAGUAGACGCGAAACCGUGUGAUCUACCCUUGGGCAGGUUGAAGCUGUGGUAACACAUAGUGGAGGACCGAACCCGUUGACGUUGAAAAGUCUUGGGAUGACCUGAGGGUAGGGGUGAAAGGCCAAUCAAACUCGGAAAUAGCUCGUACUCCCCGAAAUGCAUUUAGGUGCAGCGUUGAUUUAUAGUUUUAUAGAGGUAGAGCUACUGAUUGGAUGCGGGGGCUUCACCGCCUACCAAUUCCUGACAAACUCCGAAUGCUAUAAAAUGUUGAUCAGCAGUGAGGGCAUGGGUGCUAAGGUCCAUGUCCGAGAGGGAAAGAACCCAGACCAUCAGCUAAGGUCCCCAAAUGUAUGUUAAGUUGAAAAAACGCGGUUGGACUGCCCAGACAGCUAGGAUGUUGGCUUGGAAGCAGCCAUUCAUUUAAAGAGUGCGUAACAGCUCACUAGUCGAGCGGUCCGGCAUGGAUAAUAAUCGGGCAUAAACAUACUACCGAAGCUAUGGCAUCUUUAAGAUGGGUAGGGGAGCAUUGUAACAAAGUUGAAGAUGUACUGUGAGGUAUGUUGGAUUGGUUACAAAAGAAAAUGUAGGCAUAAGUAACGAUAAUGCGGGCGAGAAACCCGCACACCGAAAGACCAAGGUUUCCCCGGCCAUGCUAAUCAGCCGGGGGUCAGUCGGGACCUAACGCGAACCCGAAAGGGGUAGUGGAUGGACAACAGAUUAAUAUUUCUGUACCUGCUCACGUUAAAAGUGACGGAGGAUCAAGUUUGGUGCGUGCUGACGGAAUAGCACGUUGAAGCAACUGUUAAGGUUGUGAUAGUACACUACGGCUACGGCCACGGUGAUAAUCCAGAGGAGAUCCUUCCAAGAAAAGCGAGUGAAGCAGCCCGUACCGUAAACCGACACAGGUGGUUGGGAUGAGGAUUCUAAGGUGCUCGAGAGAUUCAUGGCUAAGGAACUAGGCAAAAUCGACCCGUAACUUCGGGAGAAGGGUCGCCCAUCUUCGGAUGGGCCGCAGUGAAGAGGUCCAGGCGACUGUUUAUCAAAAACACAGGGCUCUGCGAAAUCGAAAGAUGAAGUAUAGGGCCUGACACCUGCCCGGUGCCGGAAGGUUAAGAGGAGAUGUUAGCUUUACGCGAAGCAUUGAAUUGAAGCCCCGGUAAACGGCGGCCGUAACUAUAACGGUCCUAAGGUAGCGAAAUUCCUUGUCGGGUAAGU
rnacentral:rRNA from 1 species